CAUCCAGAGUUUCCUUGUGCACUUUCGUAGGAAAGAAGAGAGUAUCUGCUUUUCUUUUAACACCAAGUUCAUUCAGCUCAGCCCACGAGAGGGCAUGGGGACUGGCUGACACCAUGACUCGCUAAUCAGAAAUAUUCUCUGCCUUCCUUCUAAACCUAAGAGGACCAAGGCAUUUGUAAACCCUGCUAUGAAUUUGUCAUUGAAAAACAACACCUAUGAGAAUACAGGUUUUCCAAUUAGCAUCAGAACUGGAGGGAAAGCCACACAGAGAGCUAGAAAUACCAUUGGCCUUUGAUCCUUAAGGAAUCAUGUUUGAGUUGGACACAGUACUUGGCCAGUAACCAGUGGAGGCAUUAACCUAAAUGAUUCCUAUCUCAGGAUUUGAUGAAGAGAUUAAUAAUCUCCCAGCUUGGUGAGAAAUGCUAUGCUCUAUGUAGUGAGGUCAACAAUCAUUGAAUUCCACUGGACGUUCUUGAAUGGGAAGAGCAACAGUUAAAGAUCUCAACCUUCUUUGCUUAUCUACCCCAUGUAAACCGAACUCUUUGUGGUUGGAAUGCUGGUCCCAAGUGCUGAGCCAUCAAUUAACUCUUUACGCACAUCAUUCACAUUCUCUGGGGACUUCUUAUUUGUUUCUGUUAAAAAAUUUAAA